UGGGGAAUUUUGGACAAUGGGCGCAAGCCUGAUCCAGCCUUGCCGCGUGCGGGAAGAAGGCCUUCGGGUUGUAAACCGCUUUUGUCAGGGAAGAAAUCUUCUGAGUUAAUACCUCGGGAGGAUGACGGUACCUGAAGAAUAAGCACCGGCUAACUACGUGCCAGCAGCCGCGGUAAUACGUAGGGUGCAAGCGUUAAUCGGAAUUACUGGGCGUAAAGCGUGCGCAGGCGGUUUUGUAAGACAGAGGUGAAAUCCCCGGGCUCAACCUGGGAACUGCCUUUGUGACUGCAAGGCUUGAGUGCGGCAGAGGGGGAUGGAAUUCCGCGUGUAGCAGUGAAAUGCGUAGAUAUGCGGAGGAAACACCGAUGGCGAAGGCAAUCCCCUGGGCCUGCACUGACGCUCAUGCACGAAAGCGUGGGGAGCAAACAGGAUUAGAUACCCUGGUAGUCCACGCCCUAAACGAUGUCAACUGGUUGUUGGGAAGGUUCCUUCUCAGUAACGUAGCUAACGCGUGAAGUUGACCGCCUGGGGAGUACGG
rnacentral:rRNA from 1 species